CCUACGGGAGGCUGCAGUAGGGAAUCUUCCACAAUGAACGAAAGUUUGAUGAAGCAACGCCGCGUGAAUGAAGAAGGGUUUCGGCUCGUAAAAUUCUGUUGUUGGAGAAGAACGAGCAUAAGAGUAAAUGCCGUAGAGUGACGGUAUCUGAUUAGAAAGUCACGGCUAACUACGUGCCAGCAGCCGCGGUAAUACGUAGGUGGCAAGCGUUGUCCGGAUUUAUUGGGCGUAAAGCGAGCGCAGGUGGUCAUUUAAGUCAGAUGUGAAAGCCUUCGGCUUAACAGAAGAAGUGCAUAGGACACUGAAUGACUUGAGUACAGAAGAGGACAGUAGAACUCCAUGAGUAGCGGUGAAAUGCGUAGAUUUAUGGAAGAAUACCAGUGGCGAAAGCGGCUGUCUGGUCUGUCACUGACGCUGAGGCUCGAAAGCCUGGGUAGCAAACAGGAU
rnacentral:rRNA from 1 species